UUGCUGCUAAACUACUGGCUGGAUAUUGUCACGGCUGCUCUUUUCCCCGGUGUGCUCAUCAAUUCCAGCUUAGCAACAUCACAGAGUGUUGCGCUGUCCGGGCUCCCUACAUCUGACGUUAGCUGUUGCAUGGAUCUGUAUGGUAUCCUGAUGUGGUGACGGCCUUGCUGUUUUGUUCCUGUUUGGGGUUUGCUGUGUGGAGCGCCUUCCGCUUCUCUCUGUGGACUUCCAUCGCUGCGUCUCUGAUGCAUGAUUGCUAGCUAACCUGGUGGUGGCUAUCUGCUUGGGCCAGUUUAGUGCGGACGUGCGUGUUUGUUGCAUGAGUGUGCAUGUGUGGGAGUUUGGUUUGCUUGCUGCUCUAUUGAUGCUCUGUGCUUUUCUCUGUAUUUUGUUUUGUCUUAUUUGUACUCAUUUGUUUUUGUUUGUUUUUCUACUGCAUGUACUGUCAAGUGGGCUUUCCCUGUGUAUGUUGCUUGUCUCUCCUGCUGGGGGCUACA